GACUGAAACAGAAAGACAUUCAACUCAACUUCAAAUGAAAGCUAAUGUGGCUUCACGUGGGCCAUGAAACAUGAAACAUGUGUAUACAUGAAAACAUGUCUAUGAAACAUGUCUAUACAGGAAACAUGUCUAUGAAACAUGUCUAUGAAACAUGUCUAUACAGGAAACAUGUCUAUGAAACAUGUCUAUGAAACAUGUCUAUACAGGAAACAUGUCUAUGAAACAUAUCUAUAUAUGAAACAUGUCUAUAUAUGAAACAUGUCUAUACAUAAAACAUGUCUAUGAAACAUGUCUAUACAGGAAACAUGUCUAUGAAACAUGUCUAUAUAUGAAACACGUCUAUACAGGAAACAUGUCUAUGAAACAUGUCUAUAUAUGAAACAUGUCUAUGAAACAUGUCUAUAUAUGAAAUAUGUCUAUGAAACAUGUCUAUAUAUGAAACAUGUCUAUGAAACAUGUCUCUAUAUGAAACAUGUCUAUGAAACAUGUCUAUACAGGAAACAUGUCUAUGAAACAUAUCUAUAUAUGAAACAUGUCUAUCAAACAUGUCUAUACAGGAAACAUGUCUAUGAAACAUGACUAUACAGGAAACAUGAAUAUGAAACAUGUCUAUAUAUGAAACAUGAAUAUGAAACAUGUCUAUAUAUGAAACAUGUCUAUGAAACAUGUCUAUGAAACAUGUCUAUAUAUGAAACAUGUCUAUGAAACAUGUCUCUAUAUGAAACAUGUCUAUCAAACAUGUCUAUACAGGAAACAUGUCUAUACAUGUGACAUUAGUGUUCAUCUUCCCCCUUUAUGGACAAAAUAAAUAGAAGAGGGCUUUAGAUGCCGCACAGCUAAUCGCACAAAAACUGUUCACCCCACAGAGGACGCAACGCCUCCCUCUGAAUGACGGCCUCCUCAGAACCCGGCGGUGAUCAAUGGACCCGUUUCCGAUUGGCGUGAUGACAGUGAUGGAAAGAAAAGGGGAGAGGCCGACGUUGUGUUGCAUCCCUUCACCUCCACUAGGGCCAGUCACGCUCUAUGCGUGGACGCGCGUGCGUGUGUGUGUGCGUGUGCGUGCGUGCGUGUGUGCGUGUGUGUGUGUAUGCGUGUGUGUGUGCGUGUGUGUGUGUAUGCGUGUGUGUGUGCGUGCGUGUGUGUGUGGAGCAGGGCCCGUCCUGAGGCGCUGCCGGCUGUUCGAGUCAUUUACCUGAAGGCUGACCUCAUUUGUUGCAGCGCUGCAGCCCCGGACACAUGGAAGUCACAUGACUAAGCCCUCCCUCUCCAUAUGGAACAAAAGCCUGCUGACCUUAUUUUGACGGUAUCCAUUUGGGGCUUAACGCUGGGAAACUCUACUUCCUCUAGUGCAGAGGUUUAUAACCUUCUCGCCUUAUUUCCCUUUUGGCACUCUGGACCCCUCGUUGGGACGGAGGAUGUUUAGUUUUUGUGUGUGUUUCAGUAGCGAACAGACGUAAUAGUCUUCCACAAGCAGAACAGCUGAAGAGAAGGAAUGUAGAAGUGGUGUUCAGGGCAAAAACAGCACAGUGUGUCUUUUCUUCAAAAGUCCUGUGUUGUUGAAUGGAGUGUUUACCAGAAGAACACAGAACGCUGUUGUUGUUAGCGCCGUUAGCUGCUAGCCGCCGUCCCUUUAAUCACAGAUGGGCUCUGAAUGGGUAAUUCACCGCCUUGAAUAGCGCGGCCGCAUUGUACUUGGUGCCUUCGCUGAGCCGUAUUUUUUCCGUACUCACUAUUUUGCAAACAUUCCGCACAAGGAGACGCAGCAGCGCGGGUCGAAAGCGAGCUCUGCUGUCGUUCCCACGGGACGCCAGUGUUUGUCUGUGUGACGCGUCAACAUCAAUCCCACUGAGUUCUCUUCAUCCAGUCCCAACUCAGUGUGUGUGUGUGCACAUCCAUGGAUGUAAAUCACACACACACCUUUGCCAGUGCUUUAAUCAGCAUGAGCUCGUUAGACCCUUUUGCUGCAGAAUCGUUGCAGUAGCGUGCGCUACCUUUGAGUAGAGGCUCAGUUGGCAUGUGAGCAGGAAGAUUAAAUAUUCUUUUCAUGAGGGCAUGCAAAUUGCGUGAAAUUAAAUCACCUACUGGGGCGAGAUGUACGCACCUCAAUGUGAUUCUGUAUGCAUGAGUGGAGGUUUUAUGUUGAUGUAAGUUAUGGCUGUGCGGCCCUUUAUAACCGUGCCAGCUUUACUGCUGACGGCUUUAGUUCCUCAUUUCACAUUUCAGCAACACGCGAUCGGCGGUGUGUUUCUGUGUUUCUGUACAAUAGAUCCUCCGUUCUUAUUUUUUUCAUCGCGGGAUGAGAGGAUGCUGAAGUCUCACGUC
ensembl:lncRNA